rnacentral:rRNA from 1 species
GAGCUGGCACCGUCUGGGCGAAAGGGAAUCCGGUUCCUAUUCCGGAACCCGGCCGCGGAACCGCUCCAAUUCGGGCCCUCAUCCGAGGACUCGUCGGGGUGACCCGAAAUGACCCGGAGAAGCCGUAGGGAGGUCCGGGGAGAGUUGUCUCUUCUCUAUAAGCGUUCGAGUUCCCUGGAAGCCUCUAGGAGGGAGAUAGGGUUUGGAACGCGAAGAGCACCGCACUUACGGCGGUGUCCGGAUCUUCCCCUCGGACCUUGAAAAUCCGGGCGAGGGCCACGAGGAACACCGCGCCGGCUCGUACCCAUAUCCGCAGCAGGUCUCCAAGGUGAAUAGCCUCUAGUCGAUAGAAUAAUGUAGGUAAGGGAAGUCGGCAAACCCGAUCUGUAACUUCGGGAUAAGGAUUGGCUCUGAGGAUCGUGGCGCGCCGGGCUUGGUCGGGAAGUGGAGCGGUGCCAACGUGCCGGGCCUGGGCGAGGUGAAGGGUGCUUGUCUCCUGGACCCUAGCUCGGUCCCGUGCCUUGGCCACCCACGGACCUUCCUUGCUGCGAGCCUCCCGGCUGUCUAGUUUUCGGCUUCGCCGGAG